rnacentral:rRNA from 1 species
CCCUAACCUCCAGCUAAGGCCCCUAAUUCAUGGCUAAGUGGGAAAGCAGGUGAGACGGCCAAAACAACCAGGAGGUUGGCUUAGAAGCAGCCAUCCUUUAAGAUAGCGUAACAGCUCACUGGUCUAAAUAAGCUGUCUUGCGGCGAAGAUGUAACGGGGCUCAAGCCAUGAGCCGAAGCUGAGGACAUCGUAAGAUGUGGUAGCGGAGCGUAGUGUGAUAUAGCACCACUCCUCUUUAGUAUCCCGUGAGGGGUGCGUUAGAGGAAUAGGUGUUUUCUGUGAAGCCGGGCUGUAAGGCAUCCGGUGGAGAGAUCACUAGUGAGAAUGAUGACAUGAGUAGCGACAAAGAGUGUGAGAGACACUCUCGCCGAAAAUCCAAGGGUUCCUGCUUAAAGCUAAUCUGAGCAGGGUAAGCCGGCCCCUAAGUCGAGGCAGAAAUGCGUAGACGAUGGGAACCAGGUUAAUAUUCCUGGGCCAGGAGGAUGUGACGGAUCGUGAAGGUAGUUCACUCUUAUUGGAUUGAGUGGGCUGCUGAUCGGUUCCUGGAAAUAGCCCUCCAUCAGACCGUACCCUAAACCGACACAGGUGGAUAGGUAGAGCAUACCAAGGCGCUUGAGAGAACUAUGUUGAAGGAACUCGGCAAAAUACCUCCGUAAGUUCGCGAGAAGGAGGCCCAGUUUCUACGCAAGUAUUGGCUGGGGGCACAAACCAGGGGGUGGCGACUGUUUACUAAAAACACAGGGCUCUGCGAAGUCGCAAGACGACGUAUAGGGUCUGACGCCUGCCCGGUGCCUGAAGGUUAAAAGGAGGGGUGAGAGCUCCGAAUUGAAGCCCAGGUAAACGGCGGCCGUAACUAUAACGGUCCUAAGGUAGCGAAAUUCCUUGUCGGGUAAGUUCCGACCUGCACGAAUGGCGUAACGACUUCCCCGCUGUCUCCAACAUAGACUCAGCGAAAUUGAAUUGCCUGUCAAGAUGCAGGCUUCCCGCGGUUAGACGGAAAGACCCCGUGCACCUUCACUACAGCUUCGCACUGGCAUCAGGCACAACAUGUGCAGGAUAGGUGGUGGGCUUUGAAACAGGGACGCCAGUUCCUGUGGAGCCACCCUUGAGAUACCACCCUUGUUCUGCUUGAUGUCUAACCGCGGUCCGUUAUCCGGAUCCGGGACCCUGCGUGGCGGGUAGUUUGACUGGGGCGGUCGCCUCCUAAAGCGUAACGGAGGCGCGCGAAGGUUGGCUCAGAGCGGUCGGAAAUCGCUCGUUGAGUGCAAUGGCAUAAGCCAGCCUGACUGCGAGACUGACAAGUCGAGCAGAGACGAAAGUCGGCCAUAGUGAUCCGGUGGUCCCAAGUGGGAGGGCCAUCGCUCAACGGAUAAAAGGUACGCCGGGGAUAACAGGCUGAUACUGCCCAAGAGUCCAUAUCGACGGCAGUGUUUGGCACCUCGAUGUCGGCUCAUCUCAUCCUGGGGCUGGAGCAGGUCCCAAGGGUAUGGCUGUUCGCCAUUUAAAGAGGUACGUGAGCUGGGUUUAGAACGUCGUGAGACAGUUCGGUCCCUAUCUGCCGUGGGUGUAGGAUACUUGAGAGGAGUUGCCCCUAGUACGAGAGGACCGGGGUGAACGAUCCACUGGUGGACCUGUUGUGGCGCCAGCCGCAGUGCAGGGUAGCUAUGAUCGGACAGGAUAACCGCUGAAGGCAUCUAAGCGGGAAGCCCCCCUCAAAACAAGGUAUCCCUGAGGGCCGUGGAAGACCACCACGUCGA